rnacentral:rRNA from 1 species
UACGUAGGUGGCAAGCGUUAUCCGGAAUUAUUGGGCGUAAAGCGCGCGUAGGCGGUUUUUUAAGUCUGAUGUGAAAGCCCACGGCUCAACCGUGGAGGGUCAUUGGAAACUGGAAAACUUGAGUGCAGAAGAGGAAAGUGGAAUUCCAUGUGUAGCGGUGAAAUGCGCAGAGAUAUGGAGGAACGCCAGUGGCGAAGGCGACUUUCUGGUCUGUAACUGACGCUGAUGUGCGAAAGCGUGGGGAUC